rnacentral:rRNA from 1 species
AGAGUUUGAUCCUGGCUCAGGAUGAACGCUGGCGGCGUGCUUAACACAUGCAAGUCGAACGAACCUUCGGGUUAGUGGCGGACGGGUGAGCAACGCGUGGGAAUCUGCCCUCAGGAGGGGGAUAACGGUUGGAAACGACCGCUAAUACCCCAUAUGCCGAUAGGUGAAAUGAAUUUCGCCUGAGGAUGAGCUCGCGUCUGAUUAGCUUGUUGGUGAGGUAAUGGCUCACCAAGGCUUCGAUCAGUAGCUGGUCUGAGAGGAUGAUCAGCCACACUGGGACUGAGACACGGCCCAGACUCCUACGGGAGGCAGCAGUGGGGAAUUUUCCGCAAUGGGCGAAAGCCUGACGGAGCAACGCCGCGUGAGGGACGAAGGCCUCUGGGCUGUAGACCUCUUUUCUCAAGGAAGAAGAUAUGACGGUACUUGAGGAAUAAGCCACGGCUAAUUCCGUGCCAGCCGCCGCGGUAAUAC